GAGAGUUAAAUAGUACGUGAAAUUGUUGAAAGGGAAACGAUUGAAGUCAGUCAUGCUUGUGAAAAUUCAGUUUGACGGGUUUUGGGUUUGGGAGUAGAGGCAGGGUCAAACCGUUUCUCUUUUGAACUUGGGAUUUGUCAGAUGCACUUUUUCUUUGGCAGGUCAGCGUCGAUUUCGGAGGUUGUAAAAUACUUGGGGUAAAGUAACUCUGCUUCGGUAGAGUAUUAUAGACCUUGAGGGAUGCAGCCUGCGGGAUCGAGGAUUGCAGCAAAUGCCUUUGGCCUGGCGCCUGAUCUCUGGAUGUUACCUCGCUUGUGACAACAUUCUUGCCUCCGGUGAGUACUAAUGCCCAUUAGGUUAGAGCGACCAGAAAUUUGCUAAGGAUGCUGACGUAAUGGCUUUAAACGA
rnacentral:rRNA from 1 species